CAGCACGCAGUUGUGGCCCGACACUCUGCCCAGACGGACGCGACGUGGGAGAUCCCGCGCCGCAGGUCACGCACGGUGCGAGCGGCGAGGGACGCCGGUCGCGGCGGGGUUCAUGAACGUUUCCAACACCCACGGCAAACAGCUGCCGGCUUGCGUCGGAAGACGCGGUACCCGCAGAUGUCUACAUGCAACCGGUUCGAACUCACGGUGCACCUCCGUUCCCAACGCUGAUUUCCAAUAGUCGCCAGUCGUGACAGACGAAUACCUUUCUGGAGGAUCUCGAGGUGCUCCCAGAGGAUGUCGCCCAUGAAGGGCGGCGUUCUGGCGAGGAAGGCCUCCUUGCCCAUGUUGCAGAUGUCCUUGCCGCGCAUGUGCAGGUGCUGCAUGGUGACGC